rnacentral:rRNA from 1 species
UACGUAGGGUGCAAGCGUUGUCCGGAAUUAUUGGGCGUAAAGAGCUCGUAGGCGGUUUGUCGCGUCGACUGUGAAAACCUACAGCUUAACUGUGGGCUUGCAGUCGAUACGGGCAGACUUGAGUUCGGUAGGGGAGACUGGAAUUCCUGGUGUAGCGGUGAAAUGCGCAGAUAUCAGGAGGAACACCGGCUGGCGGAAGGCGGGUCUCUGGGCCGAAUACUGACGCUGAGGAGCGAAAGCGUGGGGAGCGAACAGG